UCCCCAGAACUGGUUUGCGCUAGUCUGAUCCCGUCACGACCUGAUGGACCGGAGCCUGGUUCCGCACAGGAGUUAGAAGGGGGACAGAUUUCCAAAAGUGGAAUUGAUGUCAUGUUUUUAAAGCUAACCCUGAAGAAGGGAGAAAGGAACAGAGAGAGGCAUAACAGAUUCUAAACUCCUGCUUCAUCAUCCUGUUCUUGAAAGGGACAUCUUAGGUCAACGGUCCAUCACAUACUCAGCCAUUCCUGGAAUUUCCGCAGACGUGGGAAUCGCACCAUUUCCUUUUCAAUCUGUUAUAGAUAAACAUAUCUCUCUCAAUGA